rnacentral:ncRNA from 1 species
CUCCUCUCCGAGGCUAGCCCUAAAGCUAUUUCGGGGAGGAGUCGUGGAGGUAGAGCACUGAUUGGGCUAGGGGCCCCACAGGGUUACCGAACUCAGUUAAACUCCGAAUGCCACAGACUUGUCCUCCGGGAGUCAGACUACGAGUGCUAAGAUCCGUGGUCAAGAGGGAAACAGCCCAGACCGCCAGCUAAGGUCCCAAAGUAACCGUUAAGUGGCAAAGGAUGUGGAGUUGCCCAGACAACCAGGAUGUUGGCUUAGAAGCAGCCAUCAUUCAAAGAGUGCGUAAUAGCUCACUGGUCAAGUGACUCUGCGCCGAAAAUGUAACGGGGCUAAACGGUUCACCGAAGCUGCGGAUGUCCUUCGGACAUGGUAGGGGAGCGUUCCAAACAGCAGCGAAGCUGCUUCGUGAGAAGCGGUGGAGCGUUUGGAAGUGAGAAUGCCGGUAUGAGUAGCGAAAAGAAGGGUGAGAAUCCCUUCCACCGAAAGCCUAAGGUUUCCUGAGGAAGGUUCGUCCGCUCAGGGUUAGUCGGGACCUAAGCCGAGGCCGAAAGGCGUAGGCGAUGGACAACAGGUUGAGAUUCCUGUACCACCUUGUUCCGUUGACGACGGGGGGACGCAGGAGGGUAGAGAAUCGCGCGACUGGUUGUGCGCGUCCAAGCAGUGAGGUUGAAGAGACAGGCAAAUCCGUCUCUUCUUAAGGCCAGGCUGUGAUGGCGAGGGAAGUUUCAGUACCGAAGUUCUUGAUCUCACACUGCCAAGAAAAGCCUCUAAGGAGGAACAAGGUGCCCGUACCGCAAACCGACACAGGUAGGCGAGGAGAGAAUCCUAAGGUGCUCGGGAGAACUCUCGUUAAGGAACUCGGCAAAAUGACCCCGUAACUUCGGGAGAAGGGGUGCCCCGUUAGRCCCUAACGGGSCCGAGGGGGCCGCAGUGAAGAGGCCCAGGCGUCAGCCCUAUACUUCGCCUUUGCGGCUUUGCAGAGACCUGUGUUUUUGCUAAACAGUCGCCUGGG